CCCAAUAGACCUCCAGCUGGCAACUUCUGUUUGAAAAGGACUGCCUGAUACAAUUCAUUCUUGUUCAUCCUGAGCUCAAACUCAGCAUGAUCAAAACUACAGUUCCAAGAAGAGGCAAAGACCUGCUUAGGAUUCACAGUGGCUUUCUUCUGUUACUACUGUGUGGAAAACCCUAAAGCCCUAACGGAACCAGGCACAACCAGACGAGCUCACUGAGACUAUUCUUCCUUAUAUACCCCAGUUAACAAAUGGACUAGGGAGUUAGAGCUUCACCAGUGAGCUUUGGAUG
ensembl:lncRNA